rnacentral:lncRNA from 1 species
GAAAAUCUACGGUUCUCAACCUUUCAACAAUAAGCAGACAUAUAGUUAUGGUUAUGAAGAACCACCCUCUGUUGGAGCUGUGAGGAAAAUCUGCGCUUCUCAUGAACCUUUCAACAAUAAGCAGAUAUAUAGUUAUGGUUAUGGAGAACCACCCUCUGCUGGAGCUGUGAGGAAAAUCUACGAUUCUCAACCUUUCAACGACGACCAUAUAUAUAAUGAUGUAAAACCACCGGCUAUUGGAGCUGUGAGGCAAGUAUUAGGUUCUCAACCUUUCAACAAUAAGCAGACAUAUAGUUAUGGUUAUGAAGAACCACCCUCUGUUGGAGCUGUGAGGAAAAUCUGCGCUUCUCGUGAACCUUUCAACAAUAAGCAGAUAUAUAGUUAUGGUUAUGGAGAACCACCCUCUGCUGGAGCUGUGAGGAAAAUCUACGAUUCUCAACCUUUCAACGACGACCAUAUAUAUAAUGAUGUAAAACCACCGGCUAUUGGAGCUGUGAGGCAAGUAUUAGGUUCUCAACCUUUCAACAGUGACCAUAAAUAUAAUUAUGGAGAACCACUGUCCGUUGGCGCUGUGAGGCAAAUCAAAGGUUCUCAACCUUUCAACAAUGACCGGAUAUAUAAUUAUAGACAACUA